rnacentral:misc_RNA from 1 species
CAAGAUCCGUCCAUUGUGGAGGCAUUACUUCCAGAAUACACAGGGACUCAUCUUUGUGGUAGAUAGCAAUGACAGGGACCGGGUCGUCGAGGCUCGAGAUGAACUGCACAGGAUGCUGAAUGAGGACGAACUACGCGAUGCUGUGCUGCUCGUGUUUGCAAACAAACAGGACUUGCCAAAUGCAAUGAAUGCUGCCGAAAUCACAGACAAGCUUGGUCUGCAUUCUCUGCGCCAGAGACACUGGUACAUUCAGAGCACUUGUGCUACCUCUGGAGAAGGGCUGUAUGAAG